UUAAAAUUGAUUGAAAUUAGCACUUAUGGAACUCAAUUCAUGCCACGUUUCAACUCUAAAUAGACCACGUUUAUAGAAAUUAACAGAUCAUCCUCCCAGCUGUGCAAAAAAGUUAAUCUCGUUAACUAAAUUUAACGGCAGGGGCUUAAUUGAUUGAAAUUAGCACUUAAAAGGACUCAAUUGGGGAUUCGAAUAAGAC
rnacentral:lncRNA from 1 species